rnacentral:lncRNA from 1 species
GAACGGCCGUGCGCUUUGUACACAUUGCCGCGGCCAGCAUGGGCGUCGCCGCCUCGGACUCCCGGGAGGCGCCAGGCCCUGCUGAGCCCUGCGGGCUGAGGCUGCGCGAGGGCGGGGAGGGGCGGAGCCGCCGAGCCCAGCAAAUCCUCCGCAGAGCAGGGCGGCGCCGGGUAGGCUCCGGGAAUCUGCGUGGGCUCCGAGCCAGGGCGCCCUGCCCUUGUUCAAGAACUUGAUGGUCCAGGAACUAGUUCGGCACCACGGGAGUGAGAACUCACUCGCUUUCCUGAGAAUUAUCCAAAACAAACAAGAAAGACAUUAAGCCAUCCACUGAAACCUCCACGUGUUCCCACGGAUUGAUUUAGAGGGAUACUCAACCCACAACUAUGGGGUAUCAAGAUCUCAUGAAUCCAAAGAGGACACUUAGACCAGGAAGCAGAGGGUGAGAGGCCAGAAAGAGAGGGGUCCCCUGUCACCCAGAGUGAGAAGCCCCCAUCCCGUUCUCAGAGCUCACUUAGGGCGGGGCACUGUGUUUGUUUACACUGGGCAGCUGGGAGAUCUUCCCCUGAAGGACAGCCUCCACACAGCACAGUAUCCUCACUGCCAAGUGCUCUUCGGGUGUCCGUCUCUGCCAUCAGUAUUUUUAGCAUAUGGCCUUUGGAGCCCGAAGAACAACGUCCACCUCCCAGAACUGGUCCUCCAGCUGACAGAUAGGACUGCAUGAAAGAGGGCACUUCAGAGGCCAACCGAGUCGGUGCAAAUCAGAUGCUAACGGCAACCCCUCCGCCCAGAAAUCCCAAGUGGAAGGACACCUCUCGUGAAAUUGCCUUCCGUGACAGUUACAGACAGCCUGAAGGGAAUACCUGUCCAGGUGAUACGGGACAAGAAAAACACCACGAUGUAAGCAUCGUUUCUACAGAUCUCACAACAGGCCCCAAGCCAACCCCGUUGGGAUUCGUAUCAUGCUUUGUUGCACCAGAUGAAGUCUGAUCUGGGACCGUGCCAGAAAACACGGAAGGAAGAUGAGAAAGGGUGAAGAGCUUCUAAAUUAGAUUCUGCUGGGGCCAGGAAAGCAGACACGACUGCCGUGGAGAAGGUCAAUGCAAGCAUUUUAAAAUCGUGUCUUCCUUUUCAUGAUAAUCAAACAUUAAAAUGAG